rnacentral:rRNA from 1 species
AAAGAUUAAGCCAUGCAUGUCUAAGUAUAAGCAAUCUAUACAGUGAAACUGCGAAUGGCUCAUUAAAUCAGUUAUCGUUUAUUUGAUAGUACCUUACUACUUGGAUAACCGUGGUAGUUCUAGAGCUAAUACAUGCUAAAAACCCCGACCUCUGGAAGGGGUGUAUUUAUUAGGUAAAAAACCAACGCCCUUCGGGGCUCCUUGGUGAAUCAUAAUAACUUAACGAAUCGCAUGGCCUUGCGCCGGCGAUGGUUCAUUCAAAUUUCUGCCCUAUCAACUUUCGAUGGUAGGAUAGUGGCCUACCAUGGUGG